rnacentral:misc_RNA from 1 species
GAAAUGCGAUAAGUAAUGUGAAUUGCAGAAUUCAGUGAAUCAUCGAAUCUUUGAACGCACAUUGCGCCCUCUGGUAUUCCGGAGGGCAUGCCUGUUCGAGCGUCAUUACAACCCUCAAGCUCUGCUUGGUAUUGGGCCGCGGGCGUCAGCCCGGGCCUUAAAAUCAGUGGCGGUGCCACCUGGCUCUGAGCGUAGUACAUCUCUCGCUAUAGAUGCCCGGUGGAUGCUUGCCAUAACCCCCAAUUUUUUAAUGGUUGACCUCGGAUCAGGUAGGGAUACCCGCUGAACUUAA